rnacentral:rRNA from 1 species
UACGUAGGGGGCAAGCGUUGUCCGGAUUUAUUGGGCGUAAAGAGCGUGUAGGCGGCUAGGUAGGUCCGUUGUGAAAACUCGAGGCUCAACCUCGAGACGUCGAUGGAAACCAUCUAGCUAGAGUCCGGAAGAGGAGAGUGGAAUUCCUGGUGUAGCGGUGAAAUGCGCAGAUAUCAGGAAGAACACCAACGGCGAAGGCAGCUCGCUGGGACGGAACUGACGCUGAGGCGCGAAAGCGUGGGGAGCGAACAGG